rnacentral:tRNA from 1 species
GCCUGGGUGGUGGAAUUGGUAGACACUGCAGACUUAAAAUCUGUUGUCCGUAUGGACGUGCCGGUUCGAGUCCGGCCCCGGGUA